rnacentral:pre_miRNA from 1 species
AGUGGGAUAGCUGGGUCAAAUGGUCGUUCCAUUCCAAGCGUUCUGAGGAAUCUCCAAACUGCUUUCCAGAGUAAUGGCACCAAUUUGCAGUCCCACCAGCCAU